ensembl:lncRNA
AGAACAUUUCCAUAGUUUUUCUGCAUUGUUUUAAUUUCUUUUACACAUAUUUAAUUACUAUAAUUAUUUUUGAUAUCUGGGAUACAUACGACCUGUCCUGUGUAUGUGGAUGAGAGUAAAACGCAUUUGGAUUGAGACAUGGAGCAGCUCUUUUUUCUUCUCAUUCACGUAUUUGCUUCUUCAUCCUUAAUCUCAGCAGGAAAUGACACGAGCAUACAAACUACGUUACCUCCAAACACAAAUGCUACUUCUCCAUGUUCUGCUGAUUCAAGAACAGAAGUCCAAACUGAAAAAACAACGACUUCUACUUUUUCAUCUCAAUAUGAGAAUAACAUGACCAGCCACACAUCAAAAACUGUGAGCACAACCACAGCUCCUGUAUCUUCUAGCCACACAGGCAGUACUGAUGGAUCCAGCCUCUCUCUACAUAGCACAUCAGUGGGUGUUUCUGUACUUGCAAACACUUCAACAACAGCUAAUUCAAACAUCAGCAUGUCAGAGGGGACGCCAACACCUUCACAGGCACCAGACAGCAGCCUCACUUCGCUCGCCUUUGGUGUGAUGAGUCUUAUACUCAUUUUAAUUGUUGUCAUGGUGGUCUUGGUGACUGCUAUCAACCUCAGGGGACGGUGUAGAGACAUCAAACAACACAAGAGUAUUAAAAGCUGUGAUUCUGUGGUGUCUGACAGCAACAUGACCAGCAACUGUGAGAAAGAGAGCAUCACUCUUGUCUCUGUGAGGACAAUAAACACAGAAAACAAUACAGAUUCUCCCCAGAUGUCUUCGGUUCACAGCACUAUACUGGACAAUGAGGACCAAGAAUUUAGCAGAGACUUGCUGUUCAUCAAUGAUGGACUGUGAUUUCACUCAGUUCAUAGUGCAUGAGAUUGGAGGCUGCAUACUAUAUUUAUAAUGUUAAAUGAAUGUGAACUAAUGUGCCUCUAGCUGAUGGUCAGUGUACAGAUCACACAUCAUGCUUAUGGCCUACAUUGGUGCACUGCAUAUAAAAUGAUCCCUAUAUCAGACAUGCUCUCGUAUAUUGAACAUGACACAUACUUCAUUGAUAAAUAAAAUGUCACUUUUGUGUUGAUAUUCUUUUUCA